rnacentral:rRNA from 1 species
GAUGAACGCUGGCGGCGUGCCUAACACAUGCAAGUCGAGCGAUUCUCUUCGGAGAAGAGCGGCGGACGGGUGAGUAACGCGUGGGUAACCUGCCCUGUACACACGGAUAACAUACCGAAAGGCAUGCUAAUACGAGAUAAUAUGCUUCUAUCGCAUGGUAGAAGUAUCAAAGCUCUGGCGGUACAGGAUGGACCCGCGUCUGAUUAGCUAGUUGGUAAGGUAACGGCUUACCAAGGCGACGAUCAGUAGCCGACCUGAGAGGGUGAUCGGCCACAUUGGAACUGAGACACGGUCCAAACUCCUACGGGAGGCAGCAGUGGGGAAUAUUGCACAAUGGGCGAAAGCCUGAUGCAGCAACGCCGCGUGAGCGAUGAAGGCCUUCGGGUCGUAAAGCUCUGUCCUCAAGGAAGAUAAUGACGGUACUUGAGGAGGAAGCCCCGGCUAACUACGUGCCAGUCGCCGCAGUAA